GGAGACAACCAGACGAUCGCCGCCCGCCGGAGCCUUAUGCGAAGGUGGGGGGAGGAAAGUCCGGGCUCCACAGGGCAGGAUGGUCCUUAACGGGGACCGGGGGCGACCCCAGGGAAAGUGCCACAGAGAGAAGACCGCCUGCCGAAGCCUUGGCGAAGGCAGGUAAGGGUGAAAGGGUGAGGUAAGAGCUCACCAGUUCCGGCGGUGACGUCGGAAGCUCGGUAAACCCCAUCUGGAGCAAGACCAAAUAGGGGAGCGCUUGAGGGCUGCCCGCCUGAAGCUCCCGGGUCCGGUCGCUGGAGGCCGUCGGCAACGGCGGUCCUAGAGGAAUGAUCAUCACCCUGUCGACGGGCAACCGCGGCAGGGGACAGAACCCGGCUUACGGCCUUCUCCGGCC
rnacentral:RNase_P_RNA from 1 species